rnacentral:rRNA from 1 species
CCUACGGGAGGCAGCAGUGGGGAAUAUUGGGCAAUGGAGGCAACUCUGACCCAGCAACGCCGCGUGAAUGAUGAAGGUCUUCGGAUUUUAAAGUUCUUUUCUAAGGGGAGAAGAAAGUGACGGUACCUUAGUUAUAAGCCUCGGCUAAAUACGUGCCAGCAGCCGCGGUAUUACGUCGGAGGCAAGCCUUAUCCGGAUGGACUGGGCGUAAAGGUUGCUUGGGUGGUUUGACCAGUUAGUAGCGAAACUUCGGAGCCAAAAUUCGGAAGUGCCACUAAAACUGUUUGACUUGAGUGCAGGAGGGGCAAUCGGAAUGCGUAGUGUAGCGGUGGAAUGCGUAGAUAUCAGGAGGAACACCAGUGGCGAAGGCGGAUUGCUAGACUGUAACUGACACUGAGGCACGAAAGCGUGGGGAGCAAACAGGAUUAGAUACCCUAGUAGUC